AACGUAGGGGGCGAGCGUUGUCCGGAAUUACUGGGCGUAAAGGGUGUGUAGGCGGAUUCGUAAGUCUAUUGUGAAAUUUCUCGGCUCAACCGAGAAACCGCGAUAGAUACUGCGAGUCUUGAGGACAGGAGGGGAGGGUGGAACUCCCAGUGUAGCGGUAAAAUGCGUGGAUAUUGGGAGGAACGCCGAUGGCGAAGGCAGCCCUCUGGAAUGUCCCUGACGCUGAAACACGAAAGCUGGGGGAGCAAACGGG
rnacentral:rRNA from 1 species